rnacentral:rRNA from 1 species
UUUGAUGGCGACCGGCGCACGGGUGAGUAACACGUAUCCAACCUGCCGAUGACUCGGGGAUAGCCUUUCGAAAGAAAGAUUAAUACCCGAUGGCAUAGUUCUUCCGCAUGGUAGAACUAUUAAAGAAUUUCGGUCAUCGAUGGGGAUGCGUUCCAUUAGGUUGUUGGCGGGGUAAUGGCCCACCAAGCCUUCGAUGGAUAGGGGUUCUGAGAGGAAGGUCCCCCACAUUGGAACUGAGACACGGUCCAAACUCCUACGGGAGGCAGCAUG